rnacentral:misc_RNA from 1 species
AUAAAAGUUACGCAUUAGUAUUUUUAUGUCUCUAUUCCAUUUGCUAGCGGAAGAUCAAUUUAUUUAGGUUCACAAUGCAUAACUUGUAUGAAUUUUUAAGUUCUAUUAACUGUUGUGUUUGGUGUGGAGAUGAAAAGAUUUUACCUUACAUAUUCUCAUUUAAUCUUUGUCAUCGUGUUUAUUUCCCCAUUUAAUAUGAGAGCACCUAGAGACAUCAACUAUUGAUUGCAAUGCUUUUAAAUCUUCACAUUAUGUAGUGAUCUUCAAUGAAUCUGGCUACACUAUU